rfam:Fukomys damarensis contig75802, whole genome shotgun sequence.
UGUAGCUUAGUGGUAGAGCACUUGCCUAGCGUGCAUGAUGUCCUGGGUUUAAUCCCUAGUA